CGGACCUUUGGUACCAUGCGGACGCAUCCGAUGCACUGCAUAGCGUAGUCGUAGUGAAAAAAAAAACUUCGAAACUACUUAACUCAGUAACAAUUAAAAGUACAAUCGAUAAUUUAACUUUUUUAGAGUUUUAAAAAGUUUGUUGAAGUUUUGUUUUAUUUUUAUUUGGUGGAAAUUCGUCUCUAGUGAAAAAGUGUGUUCAGUUAUGUUAGCAAAAAUAUAAUGAAAACAGUCUAAAAGCCAGUCAUGAACUUACGUUUAUUUGAAUUCGGGUGAGUUUUGUUAACAAAAUCCUCCAAGAUGAUGUCCCAACACCUAUCGAGCAUGUUCGAGCAGCUCGGAAACUUCACGAAGAACAAUCUGACUCAUAAUAGUAAGCUGGUGAAAGAGAAGGACAACAAAUCGAGCACAAACCACGUAGG
rnacentral:misc_RNA from 1 species